GACAGAGGUCCCGAGCGUUAGGCGGAAUCACUGGGCUUAAAGCGUGUGUAGGCGGAGUGCUAAGUACCUUGUGAAAUCCCACGGCUCAACCGUGGAACUGCUCGGUAUACUGGUUCUCUUGAGCCACCUAGGGGCAACCGGAACAAACGGUGGAGCGGUGAAAUGCGUAGAUAUCGUUUGGAACGCCAAUGGUGAAAACAGGUUGCUGGGGGUGUGCUGACGCUGAGACACAAAAGCCAGGGGAGCAAACGGG
rnacentral:rRNA from 1 species